AGAGUUUGAUCCUGGCUCAGGAUGAACGCUAGCUACAGGCUUAACACAUGCAAGUCGAGGGGCAGCAUGAACUUAGCUUGCUAAGUUUGAUGGCGACCGGCGCACGGGUGAGUAACACGUAUCCAACCUGCCGAUGACUCGGGGAUAGCCUUUCGAAAGAAAGAUUAAUACCCGAUGGCAUAAUUCUUCCGCAUGGUAGAAUUAUUAAAGAAUUUCGGUCAUCGAUGGGGAUGCGUUCCAUUAGGUUGUUGGCGGGGUAACGGCCCACCAAGCCUUCGAUGGAUAGGGGUUCUGAGAGGAAGGUCCCCCACAUUGGAACUGAGACACGGUCCAAACUCCUACGGGAGGCAGCAGUGAGGAAUAUUGGUCAAUGGGCGAGAGCCUGAACCAGCCAAGUAGCGUGAAGGAUGACUGCCCUAUGGGUUGUAAACUUCUUUUAUAUGGGAAUAAAGUUUUCCACGUGUGGAAUUUUGUAUGUACCAUAUGAAUAAGGAUCGGCUAACUCCGUGCCAGCAGCCGCGGUAAUACGGAGGAUCCGAGCGUUAUCCGGAUUUAUUGGGUUUAAAGGGAGCGUAGGCGGACGCUUAAGUCAGUUGUGAAAGUUUGCGGCUCAACCGUAAAAUUGCAGUUGAUACUGGGUGUCUUGAGUACAGUAGAGGCAGGCGGAAUUCGUGGUGUAGCGGUGAAAUGCUUAGAUAUCACGAAGAACUCCGAUUGCGAAGGCAGCUUGCUGGACUGUAACUGACGCUGAUGCUCGAAAGUGUGGGUAUCAAACAGGAUUAGAUACCCUGGUAGUCCACACAGUAAACGAUGAAUACUCGCUGUUUGCGAUAUACAGUAAGCGGCCAAGCGAAAGCGUUAAGUAUUCCACCUGGGGAGUACGCCGGCAACGGUGAAACUCAAAGGAAUUGACGGGGGCCCGCACAAGCGGAGGAACAUGUGGUUUAA
rnacentral:rRNA from 1 species